GAGUUUGAUCCUGGCUCAGGAUGAACGCUGGCGGCGUGCCUAAUACAUGCAAGUCGAACGCUUCACUUCGGUGAAGAGUGGCGAACGGGUGAGUAAUACAUAAGUAACCUGGCAUCUACAGGGGGAUAACCGAUGGAAACGUCAGCUAAGACCGCAUAGGUGUAGAGAUCGCAUGAACUCUAUAUGAAAAGUGCUACGGGACUGGUAGAUGAUGGACUUAUGGCGCAUUAGCUUGUUGGUAGGGUAACGGCCUACCAAGGCGACGAUGCGUAGCCGACCUGAGAGGGUGACCGGCCACAUUGGGACUGAGACACGGCCCAAACUCCUACGGGAGGCAGCAGUGGGGAAUAUUGCACAAUGGGGGAAACCCUGAUGCAGCGACGCCGCGUGAAGGAAGAAGGCUUUCGGGUUGUAAACUUCUUUUAAGAGGGAAGAGCAGAAGACGGUACCUCUAGAAUAAGCCACGGCUAACUACGUGCCAGCCGCCGCGGUAAUUC
rnacentral:rRNA from 1 species